UGGAUAACUUGAGGCAAGUGUUUCUUGUGUGUGUGUGUGUGUGUGUGUGUGUGUGUGUUUUGUUUUGGUUUUAAAUCACAGAAAUCUGCAGGUGCAACUGGGCAACACCAGAUACAUAACCACAGGCCAUUAAGUGACCAAGUGACCUGAGCCACCUAUCAUAAAUUAGGUGUCAUCCAAGUUAUAGAUGUCAUCCAAAGUCGUCCAUGUUAUGCUCAGCCAUAAGGUUGGUUGUGCCGUGUAGCAUUCCAUCAUCCCACGUAAGCAGUAUAUGUGAGACCGGGCUGGAGUGGAUAAGGCGUCAGUAGAUACCUCCUCAUGGCAUUUACUGGUUAACCAUAUCCGCUUUGUCCUGAAGCAGCUAACCUGGUAAGCCCUGAGUUGCCUUUUAGAGUAUCUGUUUACAGUGCUGGUUGGGCAAAAACACCUUGUAGGCCUGGAAUCAUUUGCUCUAAAUUCGGAGCCAAUAUAUGGUGCUGUUUUCACCAUAACCUUCUUGGGACUGGGAGUCAAGGAAAGAAUAUCAGGGUGGCUCUUCUUCUUCUUCUCCCUGGUGACCCAAAAGUGAAUCUUACUUUCCAUGUCUGAGACUUUUGUUUUGCUUGUCUAGAGGUCUUAGUUCCCAAGGGAUGAUUGCUUCCACCAGGAGACACAGCAGGGGUUCUAUUAAAUGGGAAGUGGAGACCGCCAACUGGCCACUUCACGCUCUUCAUCACAGCAACUCAACAGGCAAAGAAGAGUUUCUGUACUGGCUGGGCUGAGUGUUCCUGACCAUCAAGGGUUGCUUCUCUGCAGCAGAGGUCCGCUCAGACAACAGUUGGAACUGCAGGACAGAUCAACAGCAGCUGCUUCGGGAGCGGUGCACAGUUGAGGAGACUGAGGCACAUAGAGGUUAUGUAACCUGCCCAGUUCGCACAGUUUAGUGGAAGACAUACCCGCAUAGCUGACUGAUCCAGGAGUGGAGAUACCUUUCUCCAUCAGGCCAGUCCAGCAGCUCAUUUCUCUGCUAGGCUGGGAAAGUGGGGGAGACAGAGGUGAGCCGCCCGG
rnacentral:lncRNA from 1 species